rnacentral:rRNA from 1 species
AUUCGAUUAGAGUUUGAUCAUGGCUCAGAACGUACGCUGGCGGCACGCCUAACACAUGCAAGUCGAACGAAGUAGCAAUACUUAGUGGCAGACGGGUGAGUAACAUGUAGGUAUCUUCCCUUUGGCCUGGAAUAACACGAGGAAACUUGUGCUAAUACUGGAUAAGUCUUUACGGAGAAAGCUUUAUGCACCAUUGGAUGAGCCUGCACUUGAUUAGUUUGUUGGUGGGGUAAUGGCCUACCAAGACUUUGAUCAAUAGCUGAUUUGAGAGGAUGAUCAGCCACAUUGGGACUGAGACACGGCCCAAACUCCUACGGGAGGCAGCAGUGGGGAAUCUUGCACAAUGGAGGAAACUCUGAUGCAGCGAUGCCGCGUGAGUGAAGAAGGCCCUUGGGUUGUAAAGCUCUUUCGUCGGGGAAGAAAAUGACUGUACCCGAAUAAGAAGGUCCGGCUAACUUCGUGCCAGCAGCCGCGGUAAUACGAAGGGACCUAGCGUAGUUCGGAAUUACUGGGCUUAAAGAGUUCGUAGGUGGUUGAAAAAGUUGGUGGUGAAAUCCCAGAGCUUAACUCUGGAACUGCCAUCAAAACUUUUCAGCUAGAGUUUGAUAGAGGAAAGCAGAAUUUCUAGUGUAGAGGUGAAAUUCGUAGAUAUUAGAAAGAAUACCAAUUGCGAAGGCAGCUUUCUGGAUCAUUACUGACACUGAGGAACGAAAGCAUGGGUAGCGAAGAGGAUUAGAUACCCUCGUAGUCCAUGCCGUAAACGAUGUGUGUUAGACGUUGGAAAUUUAUUUUCAGUGUCGCAGCGAAAGCGAUAAACACACCGCCUGGGGAGUACGACCGCAAGGUUAAAACUCAAAUGAAUUGACGGGGACCCGCACAAGUAGUGGAGCAUGUGGUUUAAUUCGAAGAUACGCGCAGAACCUUACCAACACUUGACAUGUUCGUCGCGACUUUAAGAGAUUAAAGUUUUCGGUUCGGCCGGACGAAACGCAGGUGCUGCAUGGCUGUCGUCAGCUCGUGUCGUGAGAUGUUGGGUUAAGUCCCGCAACGAGCGCAACCCUCACUUUUAGUUGCCAUCAUUAAGUUGGGCACUCUGAAAGAACUGCCAGUGAUAAGCUGGAGGAAGGUGGGGAUGACGUCAAGUCCUCAUGGCCCUUACGUGUUGGGCUACACACGUGCUACAAUGGUAUUUACAACAGGAAGCAAGACGGCGACGUUAAGCAAAUCCUCAAAAAAUACCUCAGUUCGGAUUGCACUCUGCAACUCGAGUGCAUGAAGCUGGAAUUACUAGUAAUCGUGGAUCAGCGUGCCACGGUGAAUGCGUUCCCGGGCUCUUGUACACACCGCCC